UUCUAUGUUUGGUAGAAGUUUCUCCGAACGCGUACAGUAGAUGGGCAGACUUAUAUCAUUCGAUAUUUCAUGAAUUUCGUGAUACGAAAAUUUUUGCACAAGCAGUAACGAGUAAUAUUUCUAUUAUCCUGGUCCUCUAUUCGACUCGUAGAAUUUUGGUCGAAGGUGCAUACCAAGGUACUCGACGGUCAUCAGAGUUGCCUAGUUCUUCGCAGUAGCUAUUGUUCAACUUGCGGAAAGUAUGCGUUGUGCUGAAGUUACAUCGGGCAUCGAAAGACUCGUAUGAAGGCUCUCAAUUUGUCGUCACAGUGCCUUGAUCAUCGCAGUACCUAUUCAACUUCCAACCACGAAGGGCAGGACUUCCAUGGCAUCGCACAAUUCGUUUACAGGUACUCGGAGAUGCUGCCGCCGCAGUUAUGACCCCCUGGACUUCCCCUGUUCAUCAGGGGGGGUCCAGGGACUCGUCCCCUGGGACUGCGCGGCCUCCCACCGCCCCCGGGGUCCCAGGGGACC